rnacentral:snRNA from 1 species
AGCUUUGCGCAGUGGCAGUAUCGUAGCCAAUGAAGUCUAUCCGAGGCGCGACUAUUGCUAAUAGAAACAGGAAGAUUUUUUUAAUAAAUACUC